rnacentral:rRNA from 2 species
AUGCUACGGUGAAUACGUUCCCGGGUCUUGUACUCACCGCCCGUCACACCAUGGGAGUUGAUUUCACUCGAAGCCGGAAUACUAAACUAGUUACCGUCCACAGUGGAAUCAGCGACUGGGGUGAAGUCGUAACAAGGUAACCGUAGGAGAACCUGCGGUUGGAUCACCUCCUUUCUAG